rnacentral:lncRNA from 9 species
CAGCAUAGAGUCUAUGGCAGGCGGGACAGGUGCGGGGCCGUCUGGCUGGGUUGUCUCUGGGUGCUGGCUACACGGCCUGCAGGCUCUCCUGUGACUCCGCCCUGCAGGCUGGCCUUGCUGUUCCUGCCCGGCCCCUCCUGGCCCUGUAACCCUGGGUAUCCCCGGUGCACCCAGGAAGUCCCCUCUUAUUUUGGGUGCGAGCCGUGGGCCACGCGCCAGGCCUGUCUGACCUCGUCCUGCUGUCUGUAAACGGGUGUGAUGCUGAGCGCGUUUGCGGCCCCCAUUGCAGGGGAACGAAGCCCCCCGGAGGCUGCAGUCACCCAGUCACACCUGUCCUGGCUGGCUCCCUGCUGGGUGGCACCACCACCAGGGGUCCAGGUGCCUCCGUUAUCCUCCAUGUUCCCAGGCCUGGUGUCCUGGUCUGAGCAGGGGGCCCUCGUGAUUCUGCUGUGCGAGGGGACGGACAGAAGUGUGCUCCAGGUGGGGACCCACUGGGGGCUCCAGACUUGGUGGAGGAGCCGCUGCCAGAUGAAGCUCCCAAGGGGCCUGGGCCCCAAUCACCCUCACCUGGAGAUAAGAAAGUCAGAGCCCGCAGCGGUCAGGCCCCCGAGCCCCUGCCUGGUGUGUCCUGCCCUCUGGCACUUCUUGGUUCUGGGCGGGCGCGCCCCCUGCAGAGUGGGGAGACCCACCGAGGGCCUGGCGGGGAGGCUGGCUGAGCCCUGAUCCAGCUCUUCCUGCUGCACCUCCGAGCUGCUGGUCCAGUGGGCGUCAUCCUGUAGCAGCUCUGGUGCUGUGGCACCUUCCUUGGGUGCUUUGAGGGCUGGGCCCCAGGAACUCUGGCCUUUCUGUCUAGCUGCUCCCAGGGCCCUUCAGGUCCAUGCUCAGCCUGCGGGGUCUCGGGGGAAGGCAGGUAUCCCCAUCACAGCCCCCGUACCCCUGCCAUACCCCAGGUGUCCUGGGGUCCUCGGGGGGAGCUGCUGCAGGCUGCCAGGACCCGGGCCCCUAGGGAGCCGGCUGCUAGCUGGAGCCGGAAGGCUGCUGCCUGGUCAAGACGAGUCCACUCAGCCCCACGGCGCCCACGAACUCACCUUGACCCCAGAGCCAGCUUUCUUUCCUCUUCUGGUCCCUGGCUCUCCACCUUGUCCCCCCCAGCACAGCCACUGUCCCCUUGACCAGAAUCAGGAGCCUGACUUCCUCUGGGGCCCGAUGGGCAGAAAAACUGAACUCUUGAGUUUGAGACCCCUGGCUGCUAGGUCUCUGCAAAUCCAUUCAUCCAUUCACUCACUCAUCCUUGUCUGAGCAGGGACAGCGCCCAGAGGUGUCGGAGGCAGGGCGGUGGCCUCACACAGGGCCCUCUCUGGGCCUCAGUUUCCUCAUCUGUAAGGUGACAACCCCGUUGUGUGAGGCUGUAGCCGACCGGAUUCCCCAAGCUUGGGGCACAAAAUCGCUUCAGGCGGCACAGUGAUAAAACCGUAUGAUCGUGUUUCCUUCUCGGAGCUUUCCAAUCUCAGCUCUCAGUGCGGGUCGGGAUCUGUUUUGAGUGCUUUUUCCACCUGGUGUGAUGUAGGGUCCGCUGUCUUUUGCAUGUGAAUGUCCAGUUGUCCAUUUGUCAAAAGACUUUUCCUCCCAUUGAACUGUCUUGACUCCGUGUUGAAAAUCUUUGACCACAGAAGCGAUGGUGUGUUUCUGGAUCCUCAGUUCAGGUCCACUGAUACGUCUCUUCUGCCAGGACUGACCCCUUAUUGUAUUUUGUAGGAUGUUGAAAUCAGGAGGGUGAGGAGGUCCCAUCAUGGCUCAGUGGCAACAAGUCCCACUAGGAACCGUGAGGAUGCGGGUUCCAUCCCUGGCCUCGCUCCGCGGGUAAAGGAUCCGGUGUUGCCCUGAGCUGUGGUGUAGGUCGCAAACGUGGCUUGGAUCUGGUGUGGCUGUGGCUCCAAUUUGACCCUUGCCUGGGAGCCUCCAUAUGCUGCAGGUGUGGCCCUAAAACAAAAACAAAAAAACAAAAAAAGCACUCAGGAGGGUGUGUCCUCUAGCUUGGUUCUUCUGCCAACACCAUUUUGACGAUUUAGGGCCCAUGGUCCAUUUGAAUUUUAGGGUGCACUUGUCAAGUCUGCCAAGAGGCAGCUGGGACUUGGCUGGGGGUCGUGUUGAAUCUGUGGAUCAGCGUGGGGUGUGCUGCCUAAAUAUGAAGACUUCCAAUUGGGGACACGGGAGAUCUUUCCAUUUAAUUAACGUCAUUGAUUUUCUUCCAAAGACAUUUUUGUACUUUUUGAUGUUACAGUCUUAGAUUCUUUGGUUAAAUUUAUUCCCAAAUAUGUUAUUCUUUCUGUCGGCUGUUGUCAGUGGAAUUGUUUCCUUAAGUUAAUUUUUGGAUUGUUUGUAGCUGGUGCAUACUGAUCACUGUGCAGUUGGUUUUUAUGUAUCGAUCUUACUUCCGGCAGCUUUGCUGCCUUGUUUUUUGUGCUAGUGUGUGUGUGUGUGUGUAUGUUUGAAUUCCUUGGCAUUUCUAUGGACGAGUUCAUGUCCUUUUUUUUUUUUUUUUUUUUUCUUUUUAGGGCCGCACUGCAGCACAUGGAGGUUCCCAGGCUAGGGGGCCAGUCAGAGCUACAGCUGCACAGCCACAGCAACGCCAGAUCUGAGCUGCGUCCACGACUUACACCACAGCUCACAGCAAUGCCAGAUCCUUAACCUGCUGAGCGAGGCCAGGGAUCGAACCCACAACCCCAUGGUUCCUAGUCGGAUUCAUUUCUGCUGCGCCACGAUGGGAACUCCCUCAUGGCCUAUUCAAAUAGGAGGAGGUGACUCUUUUCUUCUCAAUCUGGAUAUGUUUUAUUAUUUUUAUUAUUUUAUUUUAUUCAUUUAUUUAUUUUUGGCCCUGCCUGUGGCCUCUGGAAGUUCCAGGGCCAGGGAUUGAACCUGCCCCACAGCAGUGACAGUGCCAGAUCCUUCGCCCGGGGAGCCCCAAGAGAACACCUGUUUUUAAGUUAUUUUUUUUCUUGUUCAGUGGGCCUGGCAAGAACCAUUGAGUAGAAGUGGGGAGAGCGGGCAUCAGUGUCCUGCUCCCGAUCUCGGCGAGGGGAGUUUUACGUUUCUCUCCACUCCGUGCAGCGCGGGUCCUGUUUUCCGUCCGGGUCGGGAGGGUCCCUUCUGAUUCCAGUUUGCUGAGCGCUUUCUGCUUUUACCACGAGAGGCUGUUGGAUUUUUCUGGGCGAUGCUUUUUCCACGUCACCUGAGACGAUGGUCCUUUUUUCCUUUAUCCUAUUGAUGAUACACCCUGGAUGGAUUAUGUGCGUGUGUGUACACACAUCCAUGUCGACUGAUGCUUGUGUGUCGGACCAGACUUGCACUCCUGGGCCGAAGCCCCCCGGGCCUGGGGUACAAUCAUUAUUUUUAUGUAUGUGGUUUGCUAAGAUGUUUAUAUCUGUUUGUAAAGAUAGUGGGCUGUGUUUUCUUUUCUUACGAUGUCUUUGAUUUUGGUGUCAACACAUAAAAAUAACGACCUGAUGAGGGCGAGUACCUUCCUCUUACAUUUUUUGGAAGAGUGUGUGACACACUGGUGUUAAUUCGUUAAAAAACAAUUUGGUAGAAUUCACCAGUGGAUCUGUCUAGUCCUGGCCUUUUUCUUUCUUUCUUUCUUUUUUCCUUUUUUCGUCUUUUUAAGGGUCAAAUCAGAGCUGUAGCUGCAGGCCUACACCACAGCCACAGCAACACUGGGUCCUUAACCCAUUGAGCAAGGC